CCCACAAUCAAGGUACAUGCUCUUGACUGGAAUCGAACCUGGGACCUUUCAGUUCGCAGGCUGACGCUCUAUCCACUGAAGCAAACCAGUCAGGGUGGUUAGAAAUAGUUUUACUUGGACUCUCCGGUGGUUGGGCCUAGAGAGGAAGCAAAUCUAAGUAGGGACUGAUUGGCAGGAGGGUAUCACUCAGGACGUCUUAAGGUUUCAUGGACUUUUCCUAAAAAUGUUCAAUAAAGAAGAGAACAGUUAUGCAACAAAUUUUAUUUAGCAGUCAGUCCGAACAUUCAGCACAAAAGUUUACAGAGGAUAGAAAGUGCAUUAAUAAAAGCCAGUCUUUACCAAAAGAAAACAGAAAAUAUAUUAUUGAUUCAAAAUAUUUUACACUUGAGUGAUAAACUGCAAUAACUUAUUCUGGUCACCUACUGAUCAGAGAAAGAAA